rnacentral:rRNA from 1 species
UACGUAGGCAGCGAGCGUUGUUCGGAAUUACUGGGCGUAAAGAGUGUGUAGGCGGUGCUCUAAGUUCGGUGUGAAAUCUCCCGCUUAACUGGGAGGUGCGCCGGAAACUGGAGUGCUCGAGCGUGGGAGAGGAAAGCGGAAUUCCUGGUGUAGCGGUGAAAUGCGUAGAUAUCAGGAGGAACACCUGCGGUGUAGACGGCUUUCUGGACCAUUGCUGACGUGAGACACGAAAGCGUGGGUAGCAAACAGG